ACUGUCUUUAAUGUCCUCAGAGGAGUUUUGGAGGUGGUAAUUGGUGUGGCAACUGGAUCUGUUCUUGGAUUUUUCAUUCAGUACUUUCCAAGCCGUGACCAGGACAAACUUGUGUGUAAGAGAACAUUCCUUGUGUUGGGGUUGUCUGUGCUAGCUGUGUUCAGCAGUGUGCAUUUUGGUUUCCCUGGAUCAGGAGGACUGUGCACGUUGGUCAUGGCUUUCCUUGCAGGCAUGGGAUGGACCAGCGAAAAGAUUCAUUUUUGUAGAUUUGAACUUGAUAGGAUUGUAUGCUAUUCUGCUUAAUGAAGAUGUCGGUGACCUAAAAUAAAUGCAGCUAUAUCAUUUUGUGAUAAUCUUACAAAGCCUGAAGACAACUGUUCAAAAUAAUUAAACUUAAAUAAUUAAAAUAAUGCCAUAUGGAAAAUAUGGAAACGUUACAAAUUUUGAGAUGAGAUAUAUAAUCAUAACUCAAUUAAGUGGAUCUCUGUGGGGAUCUUCCAUAGACAGCAUUCACUGUGGGUAAAUAACAUUCAUUCUCAUAUCAACAGUGUAACAGAAAUGCAUUCUGUCACCAGCUCUUUAAAAAUCUUUGCAAAUUG
rnacentral:lncRNA from 1 species